UACGUAGGGUGCGAGCGUUGUUCGGAAUUACUGGGCGUAAAGGGUUCGUAGGUGGCCAACUUAGUCAGACGUGAAAUCCCUCAGCUUAACUGGGGAACUGCGUCUGAUACUGGAUGGCUCGAGUGCAGGAGAGGAACGCGGAAUUCCAGGUGUAGCGGUGAAAUGCGUAGAUAUCUGGAGGAACACCGGUGGCGAAGGCGGCGUUCUGGGUGGUGACUGACGCUGAGGCGCGAAAGCGUGGGGAGCAAACAGG
rnacentral:rRNA from 1 species